GGAGAAAAAGAAAUGAGAGCAGGAGGAGUGUUUAAAAUAUCAUGACAAGUAGUUUCCGUGUGUGUGAGAGCGUGUGAAUUGCGCCUAAUUGCCGCGGCUGGUCUCUAUCUCCUCCGCUCCAAGUUUGUACUUUAGUUAAUAACCCCUGGGUAUCCAUCCACAGGGCCUGAAAUCGCUGCGAGCUGGGCUGGCUGAGGGCACUGCGGCUGGGGGUCACUGUGGGGAGGGGGGCCGACGGGGAAGUAGGAGGCGGCCGGCCGGCGGAGCGCUGCCUGGGAAAGAAAGGUGGCCAACUUGGUCUUUUCCUUUCUAGCGCUCUCCUUUUCCUUCUUUCCCUCCCUCCUUCCUUCCUCCGUUUAUUCCUUUCUUCCCUUUUUUCCUCUUCUUCAAGUCAACAAAUAUUUUUCUACCCUUUUUCAAUUUUUCUUCCUUCUGAACAAAUUUCUUCCUCUCUUGUCCUUUACUUUUUUCCAUCCUUUCUUCAACAAAUAUUAAUUCCCCUCCUGUCUUUUCCUUCCUUCCUUUCUUCAACAAACAUCUCUUCCACUCUUUCCCCUUUUUAAUUUAAUAAGCAUUUCUUCUCUCUCUCCCUUUCCCUCCUUUCAACAGGCCUUUCCUCCCUUCUUUCUUAUCUUCCUUUUUUCCUUUCUUCCUUCUCUCUUUGUACUUUCUUCUCCCCGCUUCCCAUCCCCUCACUCCCUCCGGGUGAGGGCCUUAGGACCCUCUCUUGUUUCUCAGUCCAGCCCUGCCCUGACAUCUCCCAACCGCGAGGCUGUGGCUCCUUUCCGUGGGGAGUUCGAUCCCGGAGCUUCUCAAGACCUGAGAGAGCAGGCCAGGGGAGGGAGUCGUUGCUGGGGGCUCAAUAGAGCAAGGAUGAGGACCACCACUGAGCGCCUUGACCACUGGAGUCACCAGGUAGGAAAUCGGAGGUAGGACCCCUGAUUCCAGUCCAGCCCUCCUGCCCCGGUGCCAGAGGAACGAAAAUGUUGGGACCCCAUUCUCAGGGGUCCCCAAGAACGGGGGAACUAAGGGAGGAAGUAAAAAGCACUUUGGCAGGAGCGCCAUUGAGAUUUCAGCUGGCAUCGUUAUUAUCUAAUUGGGGUGCCACCGGUGAGUACAAGAUACAAUCCCUUCACGCCUAGCUAGGAUUACACAGGUCUGGGAGGAAGCCCCGUUUGGAGACGGAAUUUGGAAUCGGAAGACCUGAUUUCAUUGGUGCAGAGCCAGGGGUUCCUCAAGUGUGUGGUUCACGAGUUUAAUUUCUACGAGGGUAAAAAAUGGGUGGACAGCGAUCACAAAAACAAACGGGUAUUUGAAGGACCCGUAUAGCCAGCCAGUGCCUGUGCUAGGCGCCGGGAAUACAAAGGAAGCAAAAGGCAGCGCUUGUCCUGGAGGAGCCUGCAGUCUAAUGGAGGAGGCGACCAGGCAGGCAAACAGGCUCUAGGCAGGACCGGCUGGAGAUCCUGGAUCCCAGAAUUAAGAGCCACCAAGAAUGGCUUCCUGGAGAUGAGAGGGCUUCCGCUGGGACUUGAAGGAAGCCAGGGCUUGUUUAGGGGUGUAAAGGUUUGAGACGCAUCGGUACAUUUUCCCUUCCGAUCCAUUCGAUACAAAUGUAACUCGUUUUGGAGUCGGAGGACCUGGGUGCAAAUCUAAGUCCAUGAUUUUACUGCUUUGGGCAACUCACUUCACCUCAUUGGGCCCGAGUUUCCUCUCCAGGAUCAUGCCCAGUUCUAAGUCUGUGAUCUGGAAUUUCACUUCUACAGCUUGCCUAAAGUUCCCCCCCUCAACUCGAGUGCUCAGUGUCCUGGGGUCAGAGUUCUAAAACUGGGAACCCAUUUCAGAAGGCCUCGGGACUAGCUUUCUCCUUUUGUAGAAGAGGGAACCGAGAGAAGGGAAGGGACUUGCUCAAGGUCACAUCCAAAUAAGCGCCUUCGAGUGGAGGGCUAGGAGCGAAUUCUGCCCUUGCUGACUCCGAAGCCAACCCUCAAAAAAUUUCCACUACCUUCCCCCUGCCUCCCCUCGGGAUUGUUACCAUUAUCUUUACUUGGGGCCCCGAGAGGAGGGAGGGGAGAAGAGUAGAAGGAAGGGUUCCGAGAAGAACGAGAUCGACACUGACAGAGCACUGGGAGGUUUGCAAAGCUCUUCCCGAGGUGUUCUCUCUUUUCUGGUAGGGACUCGGCCAUGCGGGUUAUUUGUUAAGCGCCUACUACGUGCCGGGCACUGUGUCAAGCGCUUUACAAAUAUUAUCUCUCGGGAUCCUGGGAUUCCCAGAAGGUCUGAGGCAGCUCCGCAGCCCGGAGGCUCAGACACACCCCGCCCCCUCCCCAAGCCAAGGAUGGUAAGUAUGCGCCCAGCCCGAUGUCCCGUGUGUGUGCCUUUGGAGGAGAGCCUGCGUGUUGUAGGAUAAAGAGAUUGGGUCACUCGACCCCAAAUCCUCGAUAGUAUUUCGUUGGUUCUUCUUGCCCAGGGCAAGCCCCUUUCUUGUCUGGGCCUCAGUUUCCCCGUCUUCCUUGCCGUCUCCUUUUUCCUUCUGUCUCUCAUUUGUGCUUUUACAUCUCCUCUCCAGUCCACCGUGUCUGCCUUCCUCUGCCCUCCCCUUCCCGGCUUGCUCUCCCCUGUCUGCCCUGCCCUCUCCUCUUUCCUCUCCAGGCCACUGUCCUCGGCAACUUCCCCUCUUCGCCCGGCCGGCAAAGGUUGGAAACCCCGCUCUAACGCAGCCUUCUCGAUCCCAGAAUCAGCAGCAGCAGCAGCUCUGCGCAGUCCCCGGGUCAGAGCGGCGGCCCCCGGCGGCUCCUCCUUCCCAGCUACCCGAGAAACCCGGGUCAGGGAAUUAACUAAAAAACGGAAACUACGGAAAGUGCCCGAAGACAGCCGGGGAGUGUGGGGUGGGGAUGGCGCGGGAGCGAUGCGGGACUCCACCGCCCUCCACUCUCCCUUCUUCCGACUCUUCCCCGUCUCUUACCCCCGCCAAGCCCCCACCUCCAUCUCCCCUACCGAUCUCUGUCCAGGCCACAGAGGGGAAGAGGAAGCCCAGCAUCCCUUGGGGCCCAGGUCCUAUGAAAAGGAAAAUUUAGCAUCGGUCUGGAGGGGCGGACCCGGCUCCACUGCUAGCUCCUUCUUUCCGAGCCUCUGACCUCCAAUCCAGGGCGGCAGCGGUGGCAUGCACCCGCACACCUACGCCGAUGCAAACAGACACACACAAAAUUGUGGACCCAAAUAGGGAGCAGAACACGCACUUAUCCAGGUACACCCCACACACACCCGUGACAACUUAUGCGUUCACUUCUCUCCUUCAGUGUGUUCGGAGCCCCCUCCUCCAGCCCAGGGCUCAGAGUAGGCCAGGAGGGGCUGCACUGCGCCCCAGUCCCGCGCUGGGGACCCUGCCUUCGUUCUAUCAGGGUCCCAGGGCCCUUGGUUUCCCAGGGUCUCUCGGGAGGCCUCUGUACUCUCUUUACCCCAGCCUCCUCAGUGUGGAGUCUAUGGGCCCCACACCAUCUGGGCUGCCGUAGGAGGCCGUCCUAACUCCCUUCCUGUGGCCCUGUGUGUGUGAGUUCGGGUGAAGGUGCCCGGCUAGCGUGAGUGGUUAACGCUUUUGGCCAGGGUCCUCCCAGACCCUCCCCGUGCAAUGCGGUGGAAUUCGAGAUCUGGAGAGGGCUCUGGAGCUGGGACGCGCUGGCGCGCACGAGUAGGUGUGGAGUAGGGUCUCUGCCCUCGGGCCCCUUCUCCCCACUUUCUUGGCCCCCUUGGGGAGUGAAUCCUGAGGUGCCUUCGUUAUUCGCGGGCUCGGACCAAGCUCAGCCUGCUGGUCCGCAGAGAGGGGUGCAAACUGAGGCCUAGAACCCGACCCGCGGAGAGUUUGUACACCUCGACCCGCCCACCUCUGUUCAGCCUCCGUCCCUCCCCCUGGCCCUGCCACUGGUUCUGCUUCCCCACCUCCAGCUCCUGCCGCUGCCCGCCUCCCUGCCCCGCCCUGGCCCAGGCCCCGGGCCUUCCCUCGCCCCAGGUAGCCCCGCCUCGGCCCUCUCCUCUGGCUGCGUCCUCUCUCCCUGGGCCUAGGCUUGGCCUUCCGCUCCUUGCUUGCCCUGAGGGGGGGAGGGGGAAGGUUGGGAAGGGGGGGGCCGCUGACUUUUCCCAGUGUUUACUCACGGAAUCAAAGUAAGCAAACGCCAUCUGUUUCCCUGCUGCGGCGCCGCGGCUUUUAAUUACCCGCUCAGCGGCCCUAAUAGAGAUGAUAUUAAACUAAAUCUUUCUGACAUUAAAAGUAAUUAUCCCCAAACCAAUAUAACUGGGAUAGAAAUUACCCUCCGUCCCUCCUCGCCCCCACCACCCCCGCCUGCAGCCCCUCAACCCCUCCAUACACACCCUUUUACCCCUCUCCGCCCCACCCACCUGCCCAAACUCCGCCCACCAGCCCCCCUCCUCAGAUCCCCGCCCCUUGCCGCCGGCCCCGCAGCCCCUCAGCCCGAACGCUGCCCUGGCGCCCAUACGCCCCCUUUGUGGCCCUGCCUGAGCGCCUUCCCCGGCACACACCGGCGGAGGCCGCCUGUAUCCCGUGCGUGACCCCAGCCCAGCAGCAGUGUCUGGUCCAAAAAGGAUCCUCCUAGGACAGAGCCAACGCCAGGCCAUCCUCUCCCUGAAGCUCUCCGGAGGCAGCUGCGGGGAGGAGAUGUUCUGCAGCGCCUACUCCACACCAGGCACUGUCCCAUUAGCUCAUUUGUUGCUCACGAAGACCCUCGUCAGGCCCACUACUGACCCCACAGCAGCUCCACAGAAUCCAGAAACUCAGAGGCAUCUAGUCCAAACAGGCCAAGUCUCCAUCCCUGCCUCCUACCCUCUCUCUAACACUGUUAAUACCGGAGGUGACCUGAAGACGGGCUGCAGCAGGAUGCGGAGGACUGGCGUUGGAACACACCCACCCCCCUCUCUGUGAUUAAUAUCCUGAGGUGGGAAUGGCCAUGAGUGAGACCUGGAUGACAAAACUCUCCGAGCCCCCUCAUGUUCCCUCCAUUGGAAUCUUCUCCCCUCCCCAGGGGCCCUGGCCAUAUAAGGCAAGAACACUCCUCCCAGUGUGGGGGAUUGUUUUGUAACAGCCUUUUGGGUUAUUCCUUCUCAGUAAAUCUAACAUUUUUUAAAAGCUAAUUGAUAUCAACUGGUAAGUACCCCAUGAGGGUAAUGGAAUGACAGUAAUGGAAACCUUGGUCCCUUAGCAUUUCCCCUAGAACCUUGAAGGGAAAUAGUUGUUACCCUCCAGGGAACCUAACCUACUAGUCUAAUGCUAGUUGGGAGAGUGACCCCAGAGAGGCUGCUAAAAAUGUAAAAAACAACACCAUCACCACACACACACACACACACACACACACACAGGACAAGCAAAGAUCCCUAGGGCUAUCCACUGGAGACCUGCCAAGUUGACAUUUAAGUCCUGUCUGCCCAUUUGUCUAGUUCAUAAACUCUACCAGGAAAAGCACCAUUUAUUUAUUUGUUUGUUUUUACCCCUUUACCUUCCAUCUUAGAAUCAAUACUAUGUAUUAGUGCCAAGGCAGAAGAGUGAUAAGGGCUGGGCAACUGGGGUUAAGUUACAUACCCAGGGUCAUAUAGCUAGGAAGUGUCUGAUGUCAGAUUCGAACCCAGGAUAUCCCUUCUCCAGACCAGGUUCCCUAUCCACUGUGCCACCUAGCUCCCCUAGCCCCAUAUUUUAGAUAAGAUAUCGACUCAUCAUAGAGUGAUGAGAGGAUGGUAAAUGAUGGUGAUCAGAGACCCUUCCAGAUAAGGAUCCAUGGAAGGAACUAAGUAAAGAUGCUUAGAAUAAAGGACAGAAGACAUAAUUGUCUUCAGAUACGUAAAGGACUGUCUCGUUGAGGGGGAUUAGAUUUGUUCUUUUGGGCUCCAGAGGGUAAAAUCAACAGUAAUGAGAGAGGGAGGGAGAUUUCAGCUGAAUAUAAGGAAAAACGUUUCCUGACAAUGAGAUCUAUCCCAAAGAGGACUAGUAAUGCUUGAAGAAGAGCCUUUAACAUUUGCAGAGUUACCCAUAUAUUACCUCAUUUAUGACAUGCUGGCUGCCUUCAAAGACUGGAUGACCACAUGACAGGCCUGCUGGAGGGGAUUGUCCACACGUUCAGCCUCGUGUUAUACUAGACAGCCCCUUGGGUCCCAUCUACCACAGAGAUUUUGGGAUUCACUGACCAAUUAACCAAGACCAGUGAACUCAAACCCCCAAACUUCCGACCUUCUUAACCCUGAACUUUUUUCCCUUUGGUUCAGAGAUCUGAAGCACCUGUGCCCUCCUUGUGCCAGUGCCCCAUCUCCUAGUGCCCUGCACUUAGUACCUACUCCCUUCUUUGGUACACUGUGGCUCUCCCGAGGAUUAUUUAAAAGGUAGAAGUGUAUAAAGCUAUAAAUAAUAGACUGCAGGAUAAGGUCAGUAGAAAGAUAUUUAAAAGAAAACUAUUCCUGGCGUCGCCUGAAUGUCCCCUAAGCCUUCUAAUUUAAUUCUUGACCAAAGUUUCUUGUUCUGGUGGCCUUUCUCUUGAUCAAUGUCCUGUGUUCCAGCAGCAGCAAUCUAAUAAUAAUAAUUGCUAACAUUUAUGUAGCACUUAGUCAAUAAAAAUAUUUAUCUACUAUGUGCCAGGCACUGUGCCAAAGUUUGCAAAGAAUUUUGCAAAUACCUCUCAUUUUUGAUCCUUAUACAUCCCAGUGAGGUAGGUACCAUUAUUAUCCCUAUUUUACAGAUGAGGAAAUUGAGGCGAAGAAAGGUUAAAUGACUUUUCUAGGGUCAUAUGGCUAAUUAGCAUCUACAUGGAAUUUAGUCUACCUGACUCCUGGCCCAGGACUCUUUCCACACUGCCAAGCUGCCUCUCAAGGCAUUUAUUUAUUGUUCAGAGAUCUGUUUAUAUCUUAUCUUAGCCUGAAAUCUCCAAUGUAUCUCCAAUGUGUGAAGAUUCCCUUUCUGAAGGGAAGGCUCACUUGAAUUAAAUAGUCUUUGUCCCUUCAUGGACUUGAAGAGAGCUUGGAGCUUGGAAUUGGACAUCGUCUCUCUCAAUGCAAAAAUUCAGAAGAGACCCAAGAGCCAGGAUCUCUCUUCUCCCUUGCUCUCACUAACUGCCUGCCACAGAGGCACUGAGUAAUCUCCACCAGUGAGGAGGAAGCUCCAUGUGGGUUACAUUAUGAAUAACAAGUUUAUGUUUCUUCGUACUCCACUUUGCAUCAGUUCUAAGAAGUCUUCUGACCUCUAUUUCCUAGAUUCAUUAUUUCCAAUGGUGAAAUACAUUCUGUGCUGUAUAAUCAAUAAACCCCACUAGAGUACACAUUCUA